rnacentral:tRNA from 1 species
GGGCCGUUAGCUCAGUCGGUUAGAGCAGAGGACUCAUAAUCCUUUGGUCGUUGGUUCGAGUCCAACACGGCCCACCA